CUAGAGAGCUGACAAAUUGGCAACACUGUACGCAAAUUAGACAGACAAAGUGACGUCAUUAGUGUUGCUAGAAGCUGAAGCAGGUGUGUGCCAGAAAGCAAUCGAAUUGUUUUUGUGUUGUUUGCUUUUAAAAUGUCUGAAUUAGUAGAUGUUAAAGAACAUGUCAAAGAUGUUAAAGAAGUUCGCCAUGGAUUAUUUCGUGUCUACUGGCAAUUCAGAGAAACCAAGGAUACUCCUGUUAAAAACGAAGUACUAGCUUUUCCUAGUCUUCUUAAGUUCGUUGAGUUUCAGCUAUGUGGAUCACAAUCGGGACGCAAUUUCGUGAGCUCUGUUGCUCUUCUCUUUUUAAAAGAGUUUAUUUGGUUCGAAGUCGGUCUCAAACAACUUCAUUCGUCCUUUGUUACACCCAUAAAUUCUGGUGAGUGGCCACCCGACAACUUCCUGGACCUACCCAAAAAGUUGGAUGAGAAUUUCCAAGAGCCAAUAAAGAUGUGGAUAGAAGGUGAUUUCCAUUAUUCCAAAGAUCUUCAAUUUCUUCAAAAACAUCGUAAACACAAGUGGAAGACCUCUCUGCAAGUGAAUGAAGUGGGCACUUUCAUCGUUAUUUAUAUUGAUUUUGGCACAAGUGAAGUCAGACAAACUCACAUGAUAUGUGGACUGGCUGAAAUGUUUCACUCUCAAACCCAAUGUGACGUAACUUUCAAGUUCAAAGGCGGUCAAUCCAUUGGUGCACACAUCAUCAUCUUAUCAGCUGCAAGUCCUGUGUUCGCUGCCAUGUUCCAGUCUGAUUUCAAGGAGUCAAGAACCCAUGAAGUGGUCAUUGAAGACAUUGAUUUUCAAGUGUUUACCCACUUUUUGAAUUACCUGUAUUCAUGCCGAAUUCCCAAACUGGCUAAAGACGGACGCUGUGAGCAGAAGCAGACCAUCAACUUGCUGUGUCAAACUGCUGAUAAAUACUUGGUUGAGGAUCUCAAGAACGAGUGUGCCAAAUUGUUGAACCAGUUCGACGAUGAUGAUUCUGACUGUUGUGCGUACAACAACACUGGCUAAUUCGACUUUUAAUGGAUCGAGUUUCUAAAACAUUUUGAUCGGUGAAACACGCCAACUAGUCCAUCAUGGUCACCCUUGCUGCCCGUUAAUGACUAGAACUGGAAAAUACGUUCGUUAUUUGCCCUUUAUUUACUGAAAUUUUGUAAUGUUUUUUUUCCUUACUUUUAACCUCUUUACUCGGAAAACUGUUAAACAAGUCCUUAAGCUUCUAUAGCAUUAACUCCUUAUCCCCGCAACUGCAAUGUAAGUUACACUGAUGUAGAUCUUCCAUUUAGAAAAAAUCUCAGUAAAAGAAUUGCUUUGAAAUUAUCUCCCAUCUUUGGAUUCUACAUCGCAGCCGAAUUCUUGCAUAUCUUGUUAUUUAGCUUUGCAUUUUCCUUAUUUCGUGAUUGUAAUAUUUUAAAUAAUUGUCUUCUGGUUAUCUCUCAUUUAACUCAAGAGCUCUGGAGAGCAAUCGGUUUAACUUAACAUUUUUCAGUAGCAAUUCCGUCGAGAAGUGGGAAAUUACAGACUACAGAAUAAUUUAAUUGUCUUUUUUUUAAAAUUUGUGCCGUACGAGUCGUGCAGCGUCUUGCAUUUUAGAUAUUUUCUAAAACCACCACUCAGCGCAGGUUUUUAGUAGCCAUUUGCUAUUUCGGUUUUCAUUCUAGGGCGUACAGCGUACUAUUCCAGCUUUUUAAAAAGUGGACUGUUUUAUAUGCGCAACAAAUUUAAUCAAGUGUAGUUCAAUCAAGUGUAGUUUUUUCUAACAAUCAGAGUUGUUCACAGGGGAAUUAAUAGAAAAACAGAUGGCGCGGAAGAUUUCAGAAACUGCUGUCAUUGCCACUGAUUCCGAAUUUUUUGUCGUCUGCUGUUGUCGUCAUUGAAUCGUCGAAUGAGUCGAAGACAUUCUCAGUCGAGUACUAAAUAAUUAAAAACUGUUGCUACUUCUAUUAGUUUUGUAAAGCCGGAGUUUUUUUGAAAGUGCAAUUUCAUCAAGAAAACCUGUGGAAAAGGGAAGAUUUUCACCCGUUAACAUUUCAAAAUUACUUUGCCAUCAAGAAACAAGAAUAACAUGGACGAAGAAUUUAUCGACGACGGCCAAGGCAAAGUAACGGUAGAUGAAGUUCGAAUUGGAUUAUUCCGCGUCUUAUGGAAAUAUUUCCAUAAUGCUGGCAACAUGAAAGAUUGUCGGAUUUGUCGCAAAUUUCGACUGUCCGGAUUGCAGUUUGAUAGUGAUUUCAUGAUUUCUAGGAAGAAAGAAUCGAUUGGUAGGCCUAACGUAAUCACGCUUAAAUUUAUUUCUUGCAUUGACCGUUCCACUAGCAAACCUGAAGAUGAGCAAUCAAAAUCAAAACGCAUCAAACUAGAAGAAGAGUCAGUUUCACCGAAAUUGAGAAGUCUGCCUCCUAUCAAAGUAUUGUUGUUUGGCGAAAGGGUACCUCAAACUCAAUAUAUUCAUGGCAAAUGGAAAUUUAACCAUAUCCAAACGUUAGAGGGAGGUAAUCCUUUCGUCGAGUUUUUGAUCGAUUUUGGGACGAACGAAUUAGUUGAAAAAUUGGUUACCAUUCAAAUGGGACGUAUUCUUCACAAUCAAACUCUGUGUGAUGUGAUCUUCAAGUUCAAAAAUGGUGAUGAGAUCGGGGCCCACGUAGCGAUCCUUACGGCCGGAAGUCCUGUUUUUGCUGCCAUGCUUCAGACGGAUUUCGUUGAGUCGAAAACAAGAAUCGUGAAUAUUGCAGACAUUGACAUGGACGUUUUCAAAGAAAUGUUAACCUACAUGUACACUGGAAAAGCUCCAAAUUUGGUGAAAAAGAACUUUGCUCGGUCGGUUUACGAAGUUGCCGAUAAGUAUGACAUCGAGUUCCUCAAAAAGGUUUGCGAAGACCUCCUUGUAACCCAACUGAGCAACAGUAACGCUGUGGAAUUGUUAGUCUGGGCACAGUUCUAUUCACUUCCCAAGCUGAUUGAAAAAACGGUGCAGUUUAUUGCGAAAAAUUCUGAGGAGCUCUGCUCUCAACCCGCAUGGUUGGAUUUCAUGAAGGAUCAUCCCAAAUUGUGCCUGAAGAUUAUGCAGAGAAUGGCAAAAUUCGUCCUGAUGACCUGUUCAGAUUCAGAAUAAUUAGCAUUUCGGAGGUUUUUGAAGUUCCACCUGGGAAUCUACGAAGUCUGAAUGAAAACAAGUGCUCGCGAACAAGGAUGAACUCGCAAAGUCGUAAUUGUCAACUAAUAAUUUUCAUCAAAUUAAUUUCCUUUUUUUUUAAACCUAACUUAACCAAGUUGAGCAUUAAUAUAUGAUUUAAAUUUA
rnacentral:misc_RNA from 1 species